GGCCUAAACUCGGCAGAUUCUGCAGGGCAUGGUCAGUAAUCGCGAUGAACAUAGAGACCCCGUUAUUAGGGCGUUCAUCGCGUUGCCAGGGGAAACUUUGGCAGAGAUGGUCGUAAGACCUC
rnacentral:sRNA from 1 species